rnacentral:piRNA from 1 species
AGGACCAGUCUGAGGCUGCAGGGA